rnacentral:rRNA from 1 species
UCCGUAGGUGAACCUGCGGAAGGAUCAUUACCGAGUGCGGGUCCUUUGGGCCCAACCUCCCAUCCGUGUCUAUUGUACCCUGUUGCUUCGGCGGGCCCGCCGCUUGUCGGCCGCCGGGGGGGCGCCUCUGCCCCCCGGGCCCGUGCCCGCCGGAGACCCCAACACGAACCCUGUCUGAAAGCGUGCAGUCUGAGUCGAUUGUUUGCAAUCAGUUAAAACUUUCAACAAUGGAUCUCUUGGUUCCGGCAUCGAUGAAGAACGCAGCGAAAUGCGAUAACUAAUGUGAAUUGCAGAAUUCAGUGAAUCAUCGAGUCUUUGAACGCACAUUGCGCCCCCUGGUAUUCCGGGGGGCAUGCCUGUCCGAGCGUCAUUGCUGCCCUCAAGCCCGGCUUGUGUGUUGGGUCGCCGUCCCCUCUCUCCGGGGGGACGGGCCCGAAAGGCAGCGGCGGCACCGCGUCCGAUCCUCGAGCGUAUGGGGCUUUGUCACAUGCUCUGUAGGAUUGGCCGGCGCCUGCCGACGUUUUCCAACCAUUCUUUCCAGGUUGACCUCGGAUCAGGUAGGGAUACCCGCUGAACUUAAGCAUAUCAAUAAGCGGA